GCCCUAUAUCAUAAGAACUUUGGUAGAUACAAAUCUGUCAUAAUUUUCCGUGUAUAAUGCCCGUUGCCAUGGAAGCAUAAGCACAGUAGGUAUUUUCAUUCUGAGGAACUACCCCUUCUGGUCAGUGUUUAAAAAAAAACGUUUCACUUCUGUGAAUGGUUUUUCUGGGUAUUCAGCAAAUGAUUACACAUUUCCUUAUCACCCUUUGCUGUAAUUCUAAAACAAAGCAAAUCAUUAUCUUUUGUUAUUUUUGUACUUUUUAUUUUUUUUUUUAAAUCUAAACCAAAUAGUCUCCUUGGUUGAAUUUGUAGUAUGCCUCGGCAACUGGAAUGCGGGAGCUCUAAAGUUUUUGGUGUCCGUAUCUCUCUCACAAUAUGUCUGUUUGUUAACAUUUUUUUUUUAAUUUUGAGAUUUGAAAAAAAGAAGUUAAAAGACCAAAUCAAGUACGAAUUUAAAGAGCCAAAUCUAUUAACAGUUACUUUAUAGUUAUGACCAUAUGAAUUAUAAUUCAUGUCAUCACAGAAGUGCUG
rnacentral:lncRNA from 1 species